rnacentral:rRNA from 1 species
GACGAACGCUGGCGGCGUGCCUAAUACAUGCAAGUAGGACGCAGUUGCGAACGGGAGAGUAACGCGUAGGUAACUGCAUAUGAGAGGGGGAUAACUAUUGGAAACGAUAGCUAAUAACGCAUACUAGUAGAAUGACCUGCGUUGUAUUAGCUAGUAGGUAGGGUAAUGGCCUAACUAGGCAACGAUACAUAGCCGACCUGAGAGGGGGAUCUGCCACACUGGGAACGAGACACGGGCCAGACUCCUACGGGAGGCAGCAGUAGGGAAUCUUUGGCAAUGGGGGGAACGCUGACCGAGCAACGCCGCGUGAGUGAAGAAGGUUUUCGGAUCGGAAAGCUCUGUUGUUAAGGGAGCGUUACUUAACCAGAAAGGGACGGCUAACUCCGUGCCAGCAGCCGCGGUAAUAC